AAUUGAUUAUAUAGUUACUGCUUUUUGCUACGAAAAAAUUAAUAACAAAUAUUAAUUACAAAAAGUUACGAAUUAGCUACGGAUAAUUAGAUAAUAGAUUUUGUUGCAAAUUAGUUACUUUUCGUAGCUAAAUAAUGACAAAUAGAUACCAGGAUAAAUUUGUAGCAAAUUUGCUAUAAAUUUAGGGACAAAAUAUGUUGUAACUCUAGUACAUAGGAGAAAUCGUCACAAAUUGUAGUAAAUAAUUUAUAAAAUAAUGUAAACCUAAGUACAAAACAUCUUGAGAAAGAAAGAAAGCUAUGAAUGAGAAGGGGAUACCGAGAGACCAAAAGUUCGUUUCUCAGAUUUUUUAGGAUGAGAUUCAUGAGAAUGGGAUGUUGCAUUGCCUCUUGCUCUCUCUCCUAAGAUUUGUGGGCUUCACCGACCAGAUCUAGGAACAUUGGGAAGGGUUCACUUAAGUACAAAGGCGUUCAGCUUCAAUUCGCCAUCGUAGUUAUCGAUUUUGUUAUUUUUCCGACUGGGUUUUAUGGAUCAGACGAAGAAACUGUUCAAUAACCUUGAUGAUUCUUCUCUCGACCCAUCUCCCUCAAAGGAAGAGUCUUCUGGGUUUCUGAGCUUUAGCAGAGUUCUGAUUGUUGAUAGGUUCUCUCCUUUAAACUCUUAAAAAUCUGAACUUUAUUUUCCUGCAGUUUGAUUAAAAAUGGUUGGUUUGUUAAAAAUUUAUCUAUGAAAAUAGCAUGGAUGUUGAUUUAAGAAAAGAGCUUGCAUCGUCUUCUAAAUCCUUUGUAAAAUAUAUGAAAUAAGCAAUUGGAAAAAAAAAAAGCUUCUUCUUUGAUUCAGUUCUCGAUCACAUGAAUCAAUUUUUUGAUUGUAUUAUCUAGUUGCGAGUUAGUUUUGCUAAUUGAGCUUCAUGGACAGGCAGCUUUGUAGUUGUCUAUUUGUCAGGAUUCACUUUAUAAAUAGAUCUAAGCUGUUUUUCUUGGUGAUCUGAGUUUUUUUGCAGACUGCUAACUAAAGUUCCAUAGACUUGAUGGUCUACCAGGUUUGAAUCAUGGAUUUCACGGACAGGUUCAUGGAAGAAACUGUGUGACUGUUUAGUCUCUAGGUGGUUUAGCUUAUGAUGUUUUUGUUAUGUUAACAUGUUUAAUGGAUUUCAUACUUGUGUAUCUCAGCUGCUGUACAAGGCUAUGAAGGAAUCAAGAGAGUCAAUGGAAGUUGGGCAUAUCACAAGAUUGUGUUCCUGCUAGUUUACAACUCAGGUAUGGACAGUAGAUUUGUUGGUAGCUCAGGAAUUAUGUUUGGCCACACAUAGAUUGAGCUUGGCUAACAUAUUUUUCUAAGACCUUGAUGGUUCUAAGAGGGAACUCACGAGGAUGAUUCAAAUCUUGCUUCAAGGUGGAUGGUUGAGCUUCUCUAUUGGCGAGGAUUAUAGAUAUAUGAAAAUUGGUUUGAGUAUUCUAAAGAGAUUACAGUUUCCUAUAGUGGAUGCAACUGGACUUAGUUUAUUAAACUCACGCUUGUAAUUUUCUUUGGGGGUUGGAGUGAUAGUGAGUAUCAAUUAUCAAAGAGGAAGGAUAGUGUGUCCAUCUACUUAUUUUUAAUUAUGUUUUUAAUUU